rnacentral:rRNA from 1 species
AUGCCGCGUGUGUGAAGAAGGCCUUCGGGUUGUAAAGCACUUUCAGCGGGGAGGAAGGCGUUAAGGUUAAUAACCUUAGCGAUUGACGUUACCCGCAGAAGAAGCACCGGCUAACUCCGUGCCAGCAGCCGCGGUAAUACGGAGGGUGCAAGCGUUAAUCGGAAUUACUGGGCGUAAAGCGCACGCAGGCGGUCUGUCAAGUCGGAUGUGAAAUCCCCGGGCUCCACCUGGGAACUGCAUUCGAAACUGGCAGGCUAGAGUCUUGUAGAGGGGGGUAGAAU